ensembl:lncRNA
CUGCCCUUGUGACCUCAAACAGGGAGUGCUCUGAUAGAAAAAAAUGAACAGUGCAUUCACUUCUCACCUCUGACAGCUGGCCUGAGAUUGAUAUCUGCCAUUUCUGCCUUCACUAGGGUAUCAGGUAAUGAGAGCUGGUAAAGGAUUUGGUGAUGUCAGAAUAAAAGCCUUUCAUAAUACUAAGAACUGUCAGAAUGCUUAAAAAUAUGACCAUGGGACGUCGUCACCAGCAAGAACUUUUUUGUGAGAUGUGAUGAGCAAGUGGAUAUCAACUCAUAUCAACACCAUGAAACACUGCACUGUUGGUCACGAAAGAGGAGAUACAUCACACCAGAGACGGAUGAAGCUAUUUGUGCCAUUUACAAUGCCAAGGAAACAGACAGGGUGCCUAUGGCCAUUAUUUCAAAGCUAUAAAACUUGUGUCUUUGCCCGCAGUGGAAUAUACUCUAAAUUGGUCACAGUCAAAAAGGAUUCAAAAAACCAUGAGAAAAAUAGAAGAAAGAAAACCUUCCCAGAUCAUUGUUGGACACACAUACAUGUACACAACUGAGUGAUAACAGAGAAGGAACUCAAGGAUCCCGAUGAUGUCAUUUGGAUCAUAUAAAACCAGAACCAUCCUGUGCCAAAGACCUUCCUGCUCGCUACUUUUACACUGAGUGAUGGAUAGGGCCUAUGAACUUCCACUUGCUCCAGUGGCUUCUCUAAGAUAGCCUGCAUUUGAGAAGGGAAAGAAGAUCCAGACAUAGACCUUACUAGCCACCCUGCUGGUGAUGAAUGUCUCCAGGCUGCAGGUGAAAACGGUGUCUGAGGCAGCUCAUGGAGGAAGCAUCUGUGAAGGCCCCACGGAGACAAAACGUUUGAGUGGGACCUUAAAAUAAAAGUAGAAUUUGGACCAUCGGACCUGAAGGAGAGUUGCAAGAACGUGUCUCCUCUUGGUGCUGUCAGUGCGCUGCACAGGGAUCAUGGGCUUGGGCAGCCGUGUGGGAUGAAAGCCUUCAGCCAGAGAUCCUCCUAUGGCACCCUUUCCAAUCAUGUUCUCAUUCCCUGGGCUCCAGUUUUAAGACAUAGAAGGCAGUUCGGUGCCGCUGCAGCUUAAGGAAGAUGGGGCCUGGACGAGACUGGAAAGGACCUCAGCUAAAGAAUUUGAACUCUAUUUUAAGACUCUUCUCUGAAUGCAUAAACAUACUGGAGGGAGGAAGAAAAAAACAAGCAACAGAUGAACAGAAAAAUGGAAAAAGAGAGAGGGGGCAGACAGACAAUCAACAGACUCCCCCUGGGAUUUAAAAUGAUAAAUGCACCAUACACAUCCACAUAUUUGCAUAUAGUGAAACUUUAACAUAACCUCAUAAGGCAAAAUCUCCACAAGAAAAUGUGUACUUGAACUGUAAGAUACAAGAGCCUCAUUUUGAGAAUUAUAAAUACAAAUGUCAUUUCAAGGAGUGCCUAAUUAUAUUUAAUUUUAUGGUGUUUUUCUCCCUAUCCCUGAAAAUUCAAAGACAAACUAAACCAAGGUGAGGGAGAGAAAUCAAUAAAAUUUAUAACUGAACUUAUUAGCUACUUUCCUUAGCCAAUCUUUCAGCUGUAUCCAUGAUCCCCUCACAUUUAACAGAAAUAUGCUUUCAGGGGAGAUACUUGCUGGGUUCUCCUCACUUGACAUAUUGAUCAGGAGCCAAUACCGAGAAGGUGUAGGCCAUUCUUGCUGGCUCUACAAUAACGUCUACAAGAUAGUUCAAUAACUAUUGCUAAAGACCUGCUCUUAUGUCAACCAUAGCAUUGUGGCUCUCACGUGUCUUUUGUCUCCAGAACCUAGGACAUGCCAGCCAAACACCGAAAUGAGUUUUAGAGCUCUUGGAAGAUAGCUCCUGUUCAAAAGAAACAGGAUCAGUGUGAAAGCAUGAUGGGAAUGAAUAAGGGAGGUUCGAAGGGGGCUGAUCUGAAUACUGUGAGUUUUUAUACUUUGUCUAUGUGUCUCAAAGAGCUCAGAUUGAGUGCAAGGAUUAGUGGGACCGUUUCCACCCAGCUGAGUACAUCAGACUCCGUUUUUGGCUUCUAUUCUGCCUCUGAUACCAAGAGCUUCUUGCUUAGACUAGAUCUUUCCAUAUUUGAAACCUUAUCUUCCACCAAAGAUCUUUGGUAGGCUCUCAUCAAGUUAUUAAACUUUAUUUCCUCUUCCAGUUAUGUCUGGAAUGAAUACUAUAAUCUGGCUCUAGUCCAGUGGAAAUGGUCUCUUGUUUGGCCAGCCCCAAUUUGCUGGUAGGGGGAACAUUUGGAUAGAUGAAGAAUUGGAUGUUGGACAUUAAGGGGACUGGCUUCAAAGGAAGUCUAGCUAUUCUUAGUUCUUUGUGUCUUUGGAUGUGCCUCUGUCUAUCUAACCUUCUAGAGGAUAUUUGAUAGUUUGAUAGCCUCCAUGUUUUCCACCAUCCCAUCUUAAAAAGCUUCUGUUUGCUUUGGAGAUCCAGAUCCAUGUGGUUCUGAGGAGGCUGAAUCGACCUCUGGUUGAGGAAAUCAAGUACAUGAUGUGGGCAAAGCCAACUGGUACAUUCCAUUACUCUCUUCCUUCAUAUCCUGGUCAGAGCAAUGCUUUCAGUACUGAAAAUGUGGCCUAAAAAAGUCCAAUUGGAAUGAAUUUCAGGAGUUCUUCUGGGGAUGCUGGCAUGAAGGUCUCAUCUCUCUUCUGCAGAUGUAAAUGAGGAAGCAUCUAACUGUUGGAGCUCCUGCAGCUAUCUUGGAGCCAUGAUAAAGUCAGGCUUAUAAUUCAUCCCAUAGCACAUAAGAUAAAACAAAGAAAUAAAAAAAGAAAAUGGUCUUUGAGGCAAUAUUGGACUCCAUACCAAGCUCACUGUAGCUAACCCUGCUUUCAGAAAUUCCAUUUAUUUUAAGUACUGUAUUAAACUUGAGACCAGUUUGAGUCCGAUUUUCUUUUGUUCACAAUCAAAUGCACACGAAUUUGCUUGUGAAGGGUGGUUUGUGUCCCUGGCUUCAAUCUUGGUUUUGGUGAAGAUCUUUCAUGGACCUGGUGUAGGAUUUGUAAACAGUAGGUGUAUUUCCAAUGUGUUCUCCCUUCAAGCAAAAAGGAACUGACAUGUUAAAGUGCGUGUUCCAAAAUUAUUGGUCAAUUUCUUUUUUCUCUAUCGGGCAUCUAGCUAACUAUGAAAUUAUUCCUCCAACAUAUUUGAUAUACCAUAUUUCCAUGACAUCGGCCUUUUUCAAUUUUAUCAAAAAAUUGUUUUCCAUGCCCCGCCUCCUACUCUCUUUUCUUCAUGAUUGCUUUUUGGUUUUUGGUUCCAUAGCUCUUUUUGGUGACAGUUACAGAUAUCCCCCCUUUGUUUUAGUAAGAAUUGCAGUUAGCGCCACUUGCAUGGUAAAGGACCAGAUCAUCUUUGGCUUGAGCUGAGAAAUAUUUCCUCCCAGACUACUGAUUUACGCCUCAGAUUUUUCAAAUAUUCUCUAAUAGUGCUUUCCAUCAAUCGCUACUUUAUAUGUACAAAGUAUUCAUUGCUUUCUAAUAACUCAGACUGCUUUUCCUUAGCUUUGUUGCUAACAUCUAUUUUUUUGACCAUAUGUCAGUUCAGUAACUCAGUCAUUUUUGAGCCAUCAUGAUUUUCAUCCCUUUUCUGAUUUAUCGGUAGACUACUCUCUCUCUAGUAUGCCUUUCUUCCUUAAUAUAUUUGUGAAAGACUCUUUGACCUCAGCUGUCCUGAAUGUUUUACUGUGCUUGCUGGCCAAGGCUUUUGCAAUGGGUGCAGUUUUAUGAAUCUCAAGAUGAGCUUUUCUUUUAAAAGCUGCCCUUUCGGUUCAUUUAAAUAAAAUGUCUCCAGCUGUGUUUAUGCUACAAAACCACUUAUAACCAUCUUCUCCACUUUGGCCUCAAAUAUUUUUUAUUCUCGGACCUCCAGAUUGCAGCCACAACGGAUUUUGUUUUUAUACUUUGCUAUGAACCUUUCUACUCCCAUCUUUGGGUCUGCAUUAUAGCCUGAGUCCUGAGAUAAACACACUGGCCUCAUAAGCAGCAUCUCCAUUGUAAACCUCUGCUCAAAGACCCAGACAGUAUCUCCCAUCACCAAUUUUCAGAAGUUCAUGGUGUCCAGUGAGCCGCCCACUUAGUCUAUAUGGGGGGUUCUGGCAUUACCAGAGGCCCUUGUGACUGUCUGGAAGUCUACUUAGGGACUAAGGAAUGUGGUCCACAAGACUUAUGACUGGCUAACUAUGGGCUAAGGAAUUUGGACCAUAAGAGCUAAAAAGAAAAGAUAAUCAUACUGGUUUUUUGGGGUGUUUUUGGAGGAAGAUUAGCCCUGAGCUAACAUCUGCCACCAAUCCUCUUCUUUUUGCUGAGGAAGACUGGCCCUAAGCUAACAUCCGUGCUCAUCUUCCUUUACUUUAUAUGUGGGACACCUGCCACAGCAUGGUUUGACAAGCGACGCACAGGUCUGCACCCGGGAUCCAAACCAGGGAACCCCCCAGGGGUCAAAGCAGAACAUGUGAAAUUAACUGCUGUGCCACCGGGCCAGCCUCCAUACCAAUUUUUUAAAACUAUAUUUUCAAUAUGACCAUAGUUUAAGUUAACAGAGUCUCUUCCUGGGUAAACUGUUGAUUCUUUAUUUUGUCUUCUCUCCACUAUUUUGCUUUGUCUUCCAUUUUCCUUUCCUAUUCUUCUCUGAUGCCAUUUGAAUAUUCCUUCAAUUUCACAAACAGACAUAGGAAACCCAUUUGAAUAAACUCCUCCCACCUGUAGCAGUGGUGCCAUACUAAGGAAACUGGCAAAUACUAUGUGGUUAGGGUAGAUUUUCCUUUGUAGUAAGAAAUGUUGGCAGUUCUGGUAGUUAUUCUCUGACUGUAAUCAAGCAUUAACACAUUAUUCCAGGCAGUGCUGUACUAUAGCUUAUCAAAUAUCAGCAUGGAGCAUAUACAAGCUUGAUCAUGGGAACAGGGAAAGUUGGGAAUGUGUGAUUGAGAGUCCAGUAAUGCAAGGUUUCCAAUACCGGGUAGCCCAAAGUAGGAAAAAAAUAGAUUGAUUCUAAGCCAAGUGCUUAAGAGAAAUCUGAGGAUCGAGCUGGGAAGACAAAAUACCAACACUGAGUUCAAAGAAACAGGAAAACAACUUUACAUCGGAAGUAGAGCCAAGAGCAAGAAGCCAAGCAAAAUCAGAAUAAGGAGUCCUUAUUGGAUCAUAAAGAAGAGAGUUCUCCUUAAGGUAAUAAAUGGAUUCAUGUAUGUGAUACUAAAUAUUAUUAAAUAAAUCCUAUAAAAUUAAGGGAUUAUGAUUAUUGAUUAAUAGGAAGAAUGGUUCAUAAAUGCCUUGGGAGAAGUAGUUUAGGGAGUGAGAGACCCGAACAGGUUUUACAGUAAUUUAGAUGCUGCUGCUGCUCUGUGCCAUUGGUUUGUCCGGGAGUUGGCAUCAUUUAAACUUUUUUUUUUUCUUUAAAGUUUUAUUUUUUUUCCUUUUUCUCCCCAAAGCCCCCCGGUACAUAGUUGUAUGUUCUCAGUUGUGGGUCCUUCUAGUUGUGGCAUGUGGGGCGCCGCCUCAACGUGGUCCAAUGAGCAGUGCCAUGUCUGCGCCCAGGAUUUGAACUGAGAAACACUGGGCCGCCUGCAGUGGAGUGUGCAAACUUAACCACUCGGCCACGGGGCCGGCCCCUCAUUUAAACUUUUUAUUGAACUAUUUCCUAAGAUAUGUAUUGGCCUUCUUGGUUCAAUGUUCAAAUUUCUUAUAAAGUAACACCGCAUGUGCUGUCUGUGUAGCAGAUUUUAAAGACAAAUUUGCCUUUAUAGUAGUUAUUGAUUAUAUCAGGAAAAGUUCAACUUUUUCUGACAACGUGCAAAAGACCAGCACAAUUUUACUUAAAUGCGACAUUUUAUCCGUAAUUACAUGUUGAUAUUGCGAAGUGGCCUUUAACCAUAAGCAUGAUUCCUCACCCAUUUAUGCUGUAAGAGUGUGAUCAUCAGUGCUACAGUUUUUAAAUGGCUCAAAGUGUUUCCUGUUACAUGAAGUUUCUUCUAUUCCUUCCUCCAUUAAUAGAUCUUGGUGACCAUAAUUAAGUUGACAAUACUCUAAUAAGCUUAUCCAUAGUUAACUGAUAAAAAAAUUAAUUAUCUUGUUGACUCUACCUUGGUUAGAAAGAAUGUUCCAAUUGAAGUUACCUGUGAGUUGCUUCUAUUUUAGAGCUCAUACAUUUAAUAGUUGAAAAUAUUAAUAAUAAUUUAAAAGCAAAUGGUGUACUAAAUGCAAUAUGGUAUGGUGGAUUCAAUCCUGGAAGGAAAAAAAGGGACAUCAAUGAAAAAAAACUGCUGAAACCCAAAUAAAGCCUGUAGUUUAGUUAAUAGUAUUGUAACAUUGUUAAUUGCUUACUUUUGACAUAUUCAUCAAGGUUAUGUAAGAUUUAGUUAACACUUGGG